AGAUCGCUGUAAAAUAAAAAUAAUAUUAUUAUUGUUUUUUUCCUGAAGCAUUUUAACGAUAAAAACGUGCAAAUAUUUCUUAUAAAUACUACACUGUGAACACGAAGAAUCUUUUGCCACGAAAAAAAAAGAUUAAUUACUCAUUUAUAUUUUAUUCGAUACGAAAAUACUUUGUUUCCCUUUUUUACUCCAUUAGGCAACACAAUCGCGUCCAAGCAAGCAAUAAUGAAACGGUGUAAUAACGCGAAAAUAUAACCAACUUAUUAACCAUUCAACUGCGAAUAUACUUUUAGCCGAUCUAAACGCAAAAACAAAAGUAUUUAUAACUAAAAUCAAAUUAUUUCAUAAAUUACGAAAAGUAUAGAAAUUAAGAGUGUAUAACAAAGCGUAUAACUUGUGAAGUUAGAAUUAAAACCUUGUCCACAUUAUACUUUGAAAGAGACUGGAACAGCAAUCUCCAAGACUAUAAACUUUCAUCUCUAAAAAUAGGAUAAAAAAGAAAAAUAAAGAGCACGCACGAUAGACAAAUUUUAGCAAAAAUUAAUACACCCUGUAAAUGUAUGCAUAUUUUAAUUACACGAUUUAUAAAUCGCAAAAGUUAAAGGGUUAAGUAAAUUUAAUAACCGAGGAUAUUUUCCACGAGCGUGGAAGGAAAACGAGGGGCGAGAGAUCCUUUUACUCGUGGCGAAACCACGGCCCACGCCGCGGAUUAAAUGGCGGCUAAACCAGUUCCAGGCGCAAUACCGUGUCCUGGCGUUAGACAACGCGAUCGAAAUUUCCCAUAAAAAAGUAUGAAAAUAUCGUCCACAAUAGAAAGAAGAAUAUGUACUUUGCCGGGGUUUCUUUUCUGGGGAGUCGAAACAGUGAGAUUUCUUGGAGAAAGAGGGAGAGAGAGAGAUAGGGAUAAGAAGAGGUAUUCUUUAAAGGGGAUUGUAUAAUGGAAAAAUUAUAAGAUAGUUUUACGUUGUGAAAAAUGUUUUUAAAAGUCGAGAUUUUUAUACAAGGAAAUUGCACAAAAGCGAGAUGAUUGAAACGAGCAAUUGACAGUUUUCUGUCCCUUAAAACUUUUUAAACGAAUCGAAUUGAUCUAAUAUCGCAAAAUUCGUAAUUAAUUUCCAGCCCGCAAUAUCGAGUAUAAAAUCUAUUUUCCAUUUCAAACUUUUUUUUUUUAAUCACAGAUCCGUAUAAUAAAUUUCCAAUUCGAGCGUCGAGCCGCGAAAAAAUAACGCGUAAAGUAAAAUCCCACAUUUCGAAAGAGUAAUCACCAUACGAAAUAUCCAAUUUCAUCUCCGGUUUUCAAUCAAUAACUCGUUACAACGAGCCGAGCGAUCUAGUCAAAUUUUUCCAAACACGACCAUAGAAAUUGUUUAAUCGUUAAUUUUUUCCUUCAAAAAGAUAGGAACGAGAGAAUCGACGACGCGAAAGGGAGUUUCUCGAUCGAUUCGGGGAGAGGAGAGAAGAGUCGUGAAAGGUUGCGGUUAAAACCGCGUUAAAAUGGGGAAGACAAGAAAAAGGGUGGUUACGGACCUCUAUCGAUGCCAGUUCCAUCCGCGUGGAUAACCUGUCCGUGAUUCCAACUUCCUCUCUGGUUCUGAUUUUGAGACAAACUUGGAUUAAAAAUAAAUCCAGGGCGAGGACGAUUUCUUUGAAAUUGUAAUUCGUUUCAAGAAGAUAAUAAAUCGAUGAAAUUUGAAAAAUAUUCAAAACGAAUUCGAAAUUGAAUUUAAAAAAAAAUAGAUAUUUCGAUAGAUAAAAUAAGUGGAAAUUGAAUUUAUUUUGUUCAUCAUGUGGAAAUGUAUAAAAAUAUUCGUUCAAAUAUGCGAAAAGCAGCGAAUGUCUAUUCCAAGAUGAUCUCUCAGCAGAAAUAUCUGGUUGAUAUUUUUCCAGAAUAUUCGACAACAACAUGCUUCACGUUGAAGAAACUCUUUCGUUUCUGCGGGAAACAGUUCUUCGAUAAACAGUGCUUUCUCCGUGCUUAUUUUAGAGACAGCUUGGAAACGAGCCUUUAAAAGAUGAUUCUUAAUAAAACGACCCCUCGUUUCUUCGAAUGCAUUUUCGGUAUAUAAUUAAAAAUAAUUACCGUUUGAAUAAUUUCAUUAAUACACUACGCAUUAUAAACUCUUCUUACUUUAUCUAUUUCCUUUUUUCCCCUUUCAAAAUAGACUUAUAAUAAAAUAUAAUUCAAUUUUCUUUAAGUUGUGAUAUUAAUUUAUUCGCAUAUUCAAAAUACGAACUCGUUUAAUGAUCCAGCGAAUCGACGAAAGUCGACACGCGAUGUAAUUAUAACAAGUCGAUAAUUAAAAAAAAAAAAAAAAAACGGAAUAGAAGAAUCGUCGUUUUCAUCGUUUAAACGACAAAAAAAUAAAGAAAAGCUACCGGGACAAACAAAAUCUUAUCGUUUACACGAUUAUUUGAUACAUUGGCUGAAGAAAUAUUUUUCUUUUUCCUCCAACACAGCGAUAUCGUUAUCAUAAAUAAAUUUCAUUCACGUUCGUGUUAUCGUUUCUUUUCCAAUUUAAUAUUCGCUUCCGAAGAUUUGUUCAAAAACUCCGCGCAAUCACUCUUUCUUCUUCUUCUAAAAAAAAAAAAAAAAAAUUAUUCGAAAUUCUAAAUUCUAACGUUCCUUCUUCCUCAAAAAAAAAAAAAAAAAAAUGUGUACUGAGUUAAAAAAGAAAAUCGGAGAAUUCUUUGCGAGAGGAUCGCUGCGAAUAAAUAACGGCCGGUCUACGAUUUACGUACGAUUGCUGGCACGCGAAGGAAAGUAAGAGACGCUCGAGUGGGGAGGGGGGAGGGAGCUUGCGAAGGAGAGCGAUUCGUUCGAAAGCUCCCUUUCCUCCGAGAAGUGAAACUCAUCUCGUAUUCACCUUGACGCAUCGUUCGAAUUUUCUGCACACCUCGUUAAGCCGGCAAUUGGCCAACCGACAAUCGCGUGUUUGUUCUUUAUCUCCUAAUUUAGUAUAGUGUAUCGCCCGAUCGAGAGCUCAGCGAAAUCUCGUGCUCUUGUUUCGCAACGAACCCGUAUUCGUCCAAUCCCAAAUAUUGCAACUCGGAAUGUAAUUCUAUUUGGUUUCUAAGUUCAAGUGUCUGGGGAUAUUUUUUCUUCUUUUUUUUUUUUACUCGGUUUGAGAAUAUGAAAUCGAACUCGUGAGUAUAUUUUUAAAAAAAUUAGCGUCGCAACUUUUUAAAUGAUCGAGAAAUAAUUAUCGAACGCGAGAAAAUUUUAUUUUCUCAAAGAAGCGAGUCUUGUGUUAAUCGUCGUCUUGCAAUACUUUCUAGUUAAUUAUCCUGGUAACGACUUGUAUUAAAAUGCUGAAUUAAGUAUUCUUAGAAACUCUCAUAUGUAUUAUUUCUCUUCCCACUUGAUGACGCUACUACGUUGAUAUAUUGUUGAAGACGAUGUGUUUAGCUUCGAGGAUGUAAUUCGAUUUGUAAAACCAUCGUAAUAAAAUAAUAAAUCAAUAUAAUUCGAAUGUUAACAAGUUUCGAGACGAGAUAAUUUCCGUUUAAAAAACAUUGCUUAAUUGAUAAGAUGCACGUUGGAGGAUAACUGAAAAAAUCGAAUAAACAUUUUUCUUAUUAAAAUUAAUUAAAAAAUCGAACGAGCAAAUAGAAAAAUUUAAAUGGCCUUAUAAGGGUGGAACGUUCCAGAACUACAAUUCCCUCCCUUUCGAAUUUCCAUCCAAUCUUGCCCAUACCCGGACACGCGAUUAGUCCAAUCGAAUCCGAUCGAUUUCUGUAUGUAAAUCUAUAAAUCGCGCCCAAAGGAUCCGAUUAUUAAGGUAUCAGUGCACCAUCCUCCAUAUAUGUAUAUAUAUAUAUAUAUAUCCUCGCAUUGUACGCAUUGCGUAAGUUAAAUAUCCUAAUAUCUUUCUCGCGUUUCUCGAGCAAUUCAAAUAAUUAUCGAUUCGUAUCGAAGAGUAUGCGCGUUACACGAUCCAUGCACAUCGUAUCAAGUAUCACGACAAUGUCAAAGAUAUCGAAAUUAUUCCGUAUAACUGGUAUCGAAGUUAAAAAUAUUUAGCCAAGAAUUGAAAAUCAAUUAUUGAAUGGAAUAACUGUUGAUAUUUUCAGGCCAAUCUCCGUCAAAUUACACAAUCUACAUUUCGAUCGUUUCAAAGACAUUUCUCUUUAUAAUAAAAUUAUCAAAGAUAUUAAGAAUCUCAAGAUCUCUUUUAUUCUCAAGAAAUAAGAAAAUUUUCUUUCGUCGAGUUGGAAAAGGAAUAAACGCGAUAAAAAAUGGAAUUAGAGAGAAGAAUAAAGUUCUUCUGGUAACAACAAUAACAUUAUCCAACGCAAGCAAACAAGCAAGCAAGUAAGCAAGCAAGCAGCGAAUUCUCUUUGACCCACCCCAGCAUUACCUCAAACAUUGGCAAAUGUUGGUAAACGCCGCGACUAUUUGCUGUCUGCGCGCGUUUCCAAUCUCCCUAUCUCGUGGUAAAUUCAACGCGUGUGUAAAUGGAACUCGGAUCAACAAUAACCCGAAACAACACCGAUCGAAAGAAAACAGCGAAAAACAAAAAAAAAUAAAAAUAAAUCAGCCAAAGCUCGCAAUCUCCUCUUUCAACCAGCCAGACACGCGUCUCGUAUUUUCUCAUGUACAACUCGAUACCGCGCGCAAUAGACAGAGUCACGAGAUCUGCUUCAAAGAGAUUCCACGAUGAUGGAGUAUAAUACGUAAUACACGUACUGUACACGUAGACACAAUAGUCGGACAGAAAGUGACGAUCUUACCGGCAGCGAGGCAGCAAGGAUCGUUGAAGGAGCACGCCUACAUCUAUACGCGCGUGCAGGUGUGCGCCAUGUGUGCACAGGUAUGUGCACGGUGGAGCUAUGUGUGCGUUCGGAUAGACGCACGGGGAGAGAGGGGAGCCAGACUAUGAGAAACUAUAUAAGACUCUUUAUGUAUAUGUACGCGUGUAUUUAUACGUAUCUUUGCAUACAUAUAUAUAUUUGUAACCGUGACAGUGACUUUAAGUUAAGAACUUUGUUUUUCACUACUUUUUAUUUCAUCGUGUUCAAUUUUCAAUAUAUUAUAUAACGUCACGAGCGAUAAAAUAAUCGCGAAAUUAAAUAGAGAACUACUCACUUUCUAUCUUUAAUGAUAAACGAAAUUGAUCCGAGAUAGAUCUUAAAGAGAUUAUAUUACACAACCACAAAUUAUUAUUUCGUAUGUUUUUCCAAGUACAUAACGAAGAGGCAUCAUACGCGAAAAAAGCCACUGUCGUAACGUGAUAAAUACAUAUGUAUACAUAUGCAUGCGUGUGUAUGUGUGUGUGUACCUAGUAUAUAUAUGUGUGUAUGUGUAUGUAUCUUUCAAAGAUGGAAACAGAGAAGAGAGAUCGAGUAUAUCACGAUGAAUGGCGAAAGCACGACUCGUGAAUCGUUAGAGCGGCACUGUCAAGGGGACGAGGAAGCGUCUCGACGCCCAUAUCCCGAGUCUGCGCUGUCGCGACGUCCCUUUAUUCCCUACGAAUCUCCCUCUCUCCCACCCCUUUCGUGGACAUCCACCACACAAGCGUAUCGUAGCCUCUUUCUCGCUCCUCCCUUUGCAAGAUAGAACGCUAACACAAAGUUGCAGUAUUAGGUGUGCAAAUAAGUUCCCUUUUUCGUUACGAUCGUAACUUCUGACCGAAUUCGAAUUACUUCCAGUUCGUGGCGCCAUCUGAAAGAGCGUUCUUUUGUUUUCAAGAAGAGUCGCAAUGAGCGCUCCAAGAGUUUCCAGUCCAAUGCAAUAAUUUCGAACGAUAUGGCGUGUUUUGCGUCGUUACUUUUUGCAUUCCAGCUUAAAAAAUCGGUUGUCAAAGCUACCUAAAAUGAUUAUUAAAAGAGAACGCUGUAUCUUAUUGACAGAACGUGCGAAAAGUCGUAUCAAAGAUUUAAAGCCGGAAAUUUUAAUUUGAAAGAUGACGAUCGUUCAAGUGCAUCGAGAAAGUUCGAUGAGGAGAUGAGUUAGAAGAAAAUCCGAUCCAGAGAAGAAUUGACAGAACGAUUGGGAAUCGCCGGACAAGCGGUAUCUGGCCGAAACAAUUGGAUAAUUUUGUGUCUGAUUGUGUAAUAAAAUCUUGAAUUUGGAAAGAAAAGAACUUAUUUGCACACUUAAUAGUUGCGAUGGUAAGAGACCCGUCGUCGUCGCGCUCCGCCGCCUUCUCCGUUGUAAUUCGACGCCUCCUUUGUCAACGAAGGCCUACUACGUUUCUCCCGUGGACAUGAUGGGACUUGAAAAGUUCUCGUCUCGCGACCUGCUGGCGUACUGGAGAUGUGCUUUGUGGAGGAAUUAAACCGGAAGGAAUAUAUGUAUUCGUAAAAUUGUGAUGAAAAAGGAAGACAAGCGACAAGGGUUUAAUGUUACGUUCAGAGUGACGGAAUAGGAAAAGUUGUUGGAAAAAUUAUUUCCAAGGAGAUCGAAGCAAUGAAGGAUAAACAAGAUGUGUUUAUAUAAUCGUAAUUUUUGCGGAAAAUGAAUAAUUAAUAGAUCUUAUUCGUGUUUACGAUAGGGAUAGAGUUUUAUAUAUAAGGGAUCGAGAUAAGUUUUUGUCUGAUAAUUUGAGAUGUGAUUUCGUGAGUAAUGGAAGGGGAAAAUAGGUAAAAAUAUAAAUUUGGAUUUAUAAUUGGGAUAAGAGCAAUGAAUGGAGGAUUUUUAAUAUAAAAUUGUAAUUAUUUUUGCGAAAGAUAAGUGAUUAAGGCAAUAGAAUCUGCUGUGUUCACGAUGAGAUGAAAAAAUUUUUUUCUUGUGAUGCAGGAAGUAUUUGAAGUGUGCAAGAUGCUUUGUGAAUGAUGAGAAGGGGAGAAAGAUGAAAGUGGCUUUAGAAUGGCAAGUUGGACGAAGAAAUUCUAUUUGUAAUUAUUUUUGCGAAAAGUAAUGUAAUAGACAUUUGAUUUCUUACUUUUCUCAGAGUUUCUAUCUUAAUUCUUUUGUUUUAUAUUUUUUAAAUUGCUAUAAACUUGUUGUUUCGAAAUUUUUAAAUUAAAUCGAAUCUCUUGGUUUAUUUUCAAUCUUAUGUAACUUUCGUUAUCUAAUCUUUCGAGUCGAUUCAAUCAUUGAAUCAUAUGUAUCUACGAAGGUAUAUAAAUUAUUUUUAGAUUACAGUUAAUUCCAAUAAUAACCUUGAAUCGUAAUCAUUUUGAAAAAUAUUCUAAAACAACGAACCAUUAGAAGAUUCUUCUUCUAUGCGGCAAAUAUUAUUUAAUAACAGAAAAUAUGUAAGAAAAAAUAUUUCUUGAAUGGAUUGAAUACUUAGCAUAAGAAUACGUUAUGCUUUUUGAACUCUUGAAUAUGAUAUCUAAAAUUAUAUCUAUAAUUCGUAGUAUAUGAAUCUGUUGAAUUUGUCGAAAUUCAUUAAAAAUAUCAAGAAAUCCAAUACGUAUUAUCAUUCAGUACUAUUAAAUAGCCACAACUAUAAAAAUUGAAUUUAAAAUUAAUAAACGUUAUAUAAAUACAAAAAAUAAAAUUUCUCAUAAUAUUCUCAUAAUACCGCACUACAUAUAAUACAAAAUGCAUUAACAAUAUCAAAACGUAACCAUCAUUUAAAAUCAUUUAAAAUAACAUUCGUAAAACCUGAAUUAUUAAAUCACCAUCUCUCAUUCAUUAUCCAUCCAUCCAUUAUUUUCUCUUCUCCUUCCACACGUGUGAACGCUCUUCUUUCAAAUAAGAAAAAUCUCACCCCAAUAAACUUUCUCAAAACUAUCCGUACAAUCCCUCUUCCCCCUCCCUUUCCUUUCCCUCGAUCUAAUGAAAAUCUUCAUUCUCGCGAGAGAAUAUCGAGCGCACUAUCAUCCAUUGUGUAACAGAAUCCCAGUUUACUCGGGAUUCUUACCGUGCUCGUCAUCUGGAUGUCGCGCGAAGAAAAGAAGGAUCGUUCGAGCGUUUCUCGCGGGAGCAACGUGUAAAUAUUUACGCGGACUCGUGUACGCGUCCGCUUUAACCUUUUUAUUCGAGCGGAACUAUUGGCCGGCCUUAUCUCGGCUUGCAACGCAAAAUUGAAGUUUCAGUCUUUGUUUUCGACGACGAGAGUUGAGAUAUAUUCGGUUUAAAAAUAUAUAUAUAUAUAUAUAUAUUUUACAGGAAGUUUUUUUCUUUUUUUUUUUUUUUUCGAAGAUUCUGAAGAAUGUCAAUACGUUUGCGCUCCAAGCCGAAUCAAUAAUUCCAGAACUUAAAAUGAUUUCACAUAUAAAUUAACGAAUAAAAAUUUUAUAUAUUGGUAUUUUACGUAUCUUUACGUAUAAAGAAAAGAAAAUUUGUCGAAUAUUAAAGUCUAUAUCGUUCGUUUGAUAUUUUAAUAACGAGGAAAUUAUCAAGAUGGAUUUGUCAGGGCGAGUAUCGCGAUAAAAUGUCGUUCGAUAACUUUCUUAUUUCAUUGAGAACAAACUUUACAAUAAUAUGCUCUCACAUUCAGCUUCACCUUCUCUAUUUUGCUAUUUUCCUUGUCUCUAUCGUCAAUCUUUUGAUGAAUAGAAAUAAUUUCGUUAUUUAAUCAAACUCAUCUUCGCUCGAAUUAAUUUCAUUAUUUGUAUUUCAAAACUGAAACACUUUGAAAAUUAUAUUUCUAUUGGACAAAUGCCUAAAAUGUAAUGAGAUAAAAAAAACCUAACCAUUCGAUAAUAUAUUAUUCUUUCGUUUUAUGGAAGAUUAUACAAGAAUUUAGGAAUCUAUUCGCAAUAUUUUAAAAGAAUCAAACGUAAAUAAAUAUUGUCGCCGUUCGAAUUGCAGCAUCGAUCCAAAUGAUGGCCGAGAGUCAUCAUUCAAGCGCAGAGUUGAUACAUUUGCUUGGAGGGGGAUACUUAGAAAUAUCGACAGAUUAUUGACCAGUAUCGUAAAAGUACAAAUUGUUCGUAUGGCAUGUAUAGUAAUGAACGUUAAAUCCUUGUAUAUAUAUGCAGUAGUAGAUAUUGCUUGGUAAUAAAUACUGGUGACUAUAUUAAUUUGGAAUAUAGGAAACAAUGGUGCAGCUGCUGCUGCUCGAAUUACACGUAUUCGAAGGGAGAAAUUUAAUCGGAUUAUCGUGGGCGACGCCUUCCAAUAAUCCGUUUUCAUUCGCCAACUAACCUGAAACGCAGCCGUGUUUCAAAAGGAAUAGAAAUUCCGAAGCUACAAAGGCUUCGUAGGAGAGCGUUGUUCGUUCGUAAUAAUAAACGAAAGAGAAGAGGAGGGAAAACGGGGGAGGGGGGAGGGAGAGAGAAGAGAUGGAUUGAGAAAGGAUUGGGAAAGGAGAAAAAGAAGAAAAAGGAAAAAAGGUCGGCGACCCCGUGGACUCGCGUGGCCAAAGGCAUUUAAACGCGCGCGUAAUUACGCGCGCCGGCGGAGGGUGCGCGCUUCGCUUUUCUCACGAGCCCCCCUCCCUUCCCCCUCCACACCGGACCGGCCACUCAUCGGCCGACGAAUCAGAAAGGCGAACGCGGCGACGCGUUCUUCGUUUCGAUUGUACGCUUGCUGUACACAGGGUGGCCUGGAAUUUAUUUUCGUGGCCUGUAUAUAAUUUUGACGAAGGGUGGUAAUUCCCUUCCCCUCAUUGCGUCACGUUUCCGACGUAAUUUCUUUAAAUUUCGUAAUUGAAGUCAUAAGAAUUGAAUUGAACACAACAAGGAUAGAGAAAGAGAGAAUUCCAUUUCUACAGUACGUUGUUGAAUGAAAUUUUUACAAGCGAAGCUCUUCUCUUUUGAGGUUAAGGGAACGAUGAUGUAAUUUUUGGAGAGAGAAUUAAUGGAAUUGAUUAAAUUUAGAUUUUGAAAUUUGUAAUAUUGAUUUCGUUAUUCAAACGAUAAAAUAUAUUUAUUUCUUUUU